UUGCAGCCAGUUGAGCUGACCAGGUCCCUUUCUUCAUGGAGGCCUGUGUGCAAUGGCUGCAAACAGCAGACUCCUUGGUAACACAU
rnacentral:snoRNA from 1 species